rnacentral:misc_RNA from 1 species
UAGGAUUGUGCCUGCGGCGCU